CGUUGGGGGCGCACUCGUCCCCCCGUGGGCCACCGGAGCCAUGGGAGGUGCGUGCGCCUGCGGCGCCGUCCGCUCCCAGUCAGAAACAACAGACCCCAAGCUCUGAGGAAAGGAACAAUAAGGAACGAACCACCUGUUGAGAGUGGGCGGGACCUGGAAGCGCACCUGUCCUUCCUCCCCCGCAAUGACAAUGGACCAACCCAGAAGCUUCUCCCUCUCGAGUCUCCGCCUAAUUAAAUUAGUUGAACGGAUUAACUGAUUUUCAUCAAAGUAAAACUCUGGACGUGUCCCUCGGGGGUGACUGAGGAUUUCCUGACUUCACCUGCCCCAAGGGGACACUGGUCUCUCCCCGCCACCUGGUGGAUGUGGCAAAGAAGAACACGACAAAGUUGGGGAGGCGCUGGGUGCCCGGUCCCCAGAGCUGGAGCUUAAAAAAGUCCAGGGGGACCCUCUCCCAUCUAGCACGGACUUCUUCCCAUCCCGACGUCCCAAGACUUUCCCCUCCAGCCAAACUGGACGCUCAUCCCGAGGUCCCCGUGCCCUCGGGGGUGGGGCUUGGCCACUUCCCUCCCCGCCUUAGUUUCCUUAUCUGUAAAUUAAAAGGAUUGGACUAAAGGAUCCCUAAGGGCCCUUCUAAACGCCUGUGAUCCUCUCACUUUUGUUCGAGCUGUUCCCCAUACGAGGAAUCCCUUCUUCCAUCCUCCAGCUCUGGCCCUCCUUCAGAGCUCAACUGAAAUUCUAGUUCGCCCAGAAAAGCCGCUUCUGCUCUCCCCCCUGAAUGGCUCUAGCAUUUUUCCUUUGCAGAGACCUUUCCGUGACACCUUUCACUCUCUCCCUUGCAUUUCGUGAUGGGCUUGGACAUAUGAAAUCCUGCUCCUAACACUGUGAUGUUAUGCAAAUCUCUGGAUCUCAGUUUCCUCCUUUAUGAAAUCAAGAAAAUAAUAUGCUUGCCCCCUGCGUUUGAUUUUAUUUUACUUAUUUCUAUGAUGUAACAGGGACUUAUUAGAAUUUACUUUCCUGGCUUUGGUUUGAACACGUAAGAACUUUAUUAUUGGCCCAACGUUGGGUGGGCUUGGCCUAUUAGUAAGAAAUAGCAAGCCCUGAAAGCCUUGGUCCUCCAAUCCCUUGCUCCCUAGUACCUAUCAUAGCAAGGGAUUUAGGUUACUCUAUCAGUUAAAAGAAGAGAAAGUUUCCCAUUGUGUUACAAUGAGAAGUGGGAAGUUAUACUCUUGCUGAAGGGUCAGCAUUUCCCAAUACAGCUACUAACAAACAAUCUAUCACCAGUGGUCUUGCUAGGGGAAAGUAAGAUACAAUAUUAUGGUACUGUAUUAGUUUUUAAAAAAAGAGAAAGUUUUCCAUUGCACUACAAUGGGAAAUGGGAAGUUAUACUCUUUCUAAAGGGUCAGCAUUUCCAAAUAUAGCUACUAAGAAACAAUCUAUCACCAAUGGUCUUGCUAAGGAAAACUAAGAUACAAUGUUAUGGUACCAUAUCAGUUAAAAGAAGAGAAAGAUUCCCAUUGCAAUGCAGUGGGAAGUGGGAAGUUAUACCCAAUACAGCUACUGAGACACAAUCUAUCCCCAAUGGUCUUACUGGGGAACAGGUACCAUAUCAGUUAAAAGAAGAGAAAGUUUCCAUUGUAUUAUGAUAGGAAAUGGGAAGUUAUACUCUUGCUGAAGGGUCAGCAUUUCCCAAUACAGCUACUAACAAACAAUCUAUCACCAAUGGUCUUGCUAGGGGAAAGUAAGAUACAGUAUUAUGGUACUGUAUUAGGUAAAGAGAGAGAGACAGAGAGAGAGAGAGAGAGAGAGAGAGAGAGAGAGAGAGAGAGAGAGAGCGCUUCCCAUUGCAUUACAAUGGGAAAUGGGAAGUUAUACUCUUUCUGAAGGCUCAGCAUUUCCAAACACAGCUACUAAGAAACAAUCUAUCACCUAUGAUUCUUGCUAAGGAAAACUAAGAUACAAUGUUAUGGUACCAUAUCAGUUAAAAGAAGAGAAAGUUUCCAUUGCAUUACUGAUGGGAAAUGGGAAGUUAUACCCUUGCUGAAGGUCCCGCAUUUCCAAAUACAGCUACUGAGAAACAAUCUAUCCCCAAUGGUCUUGCUAAGGAAAACUAAGAUACGAAGUAUCUUUUCAUUAGUUAGAUUUUUUUUUUUUUUUUUUUUUUGCUCUAGAAAUAGCUGAGAGUAUCAAAAUAAUGCUUGACUGCCUUACAAAUACUGAACAUUUUCACUUUUUCAAGAGUAGUUCAAAUUAUAAAACUAACUUAAUGGUCUCAAUGAUGGUUUCAAUCUGACAUAAUUUAGCUCUUAACCAUGGAAUCUAAUUUAUGAAACACUGAGGAGAACUAACCCUGUGACUUUUGGCACCUGGGUACACAAGAGAUUUGGUUUGUUCUGUUAUAGUCACAACUCAACUAGCUUUCGGCCACAUCCACAAAUUUUAUUUCCAGUGAAGUGUUUUUGGAACCAGUUCUUUGUGCACUUCAUUCCAUACAAUAUAAAUGAAUAAAAUGUUACUUAAUUGCAUUGUUAUUUACAUAUAAUCUUUUUAAAAAUUGCCUUUAGCUUUUUUGGUGGCAUCAGAUAAAUUUGGGACUAUCCAUAAAGACAAGAAAGCUUUGGCUUUUCUUCACCUUGGUAUCAUGUGACCCUGCCCACAAAGGCACCGAGUUCUGGGUUUGUUCCCCUCUGAGAGUUUUGUUUAUGGGAUCUUGGCUGUUUUUUUUUCUUUUUUUUUUUUUUUCCUUUAAAUAAAUCCCUGUAACUCCUGUCACCACCAAGAUCAAAUGUGAAAUCCUCUGUUUGAUAUUCCAAGUGCUUCAUGAUCACCCCCCUUUCUGGUCUUCGUACACCUUAUUGCUCACCAAAUGCUGUGUGAUUCAGUGGUACUGGCCCCCCUAGUUGUUCCUCCCAAGAUGCUCCCCUCUUGUGACUCUGGGAAUUUUCAUUGCUUGGAAUUUUCUCUCUUUCUCAUCUCUGUGUCCCGGUCUCCCUGGAUCCUUCCCACUUUCUGCAAGAAGCCUUUUCUGAUCCCUUUCAAUAAUAGUGUCUGUUGAUAAUCCCUAAUUUAUUCUGUAUAUUUUUUUGUUUGGACAUGGUUGUUUGCAUGUUCUCCGUUAGAAUGGGAGUUUCUUGAGAGCAGAUACUUUGGGUGUUGUUUAUCUGUUUUGACAUCCAUGGCAAAGAGCUGAUACAUAGUUGUUAUUUGUCCUUCUUUCUCAGAGGACAUUAGGGAGGUGAUGUCAUGACAUGCAAGUGAAUUGGAUUGAAGUGAGGGAGGGCUGUGUAAGGUCACCAGCCUCACUUUCCCCUCCCAAUCCAUCUGGGUCCAGUGACCAGAUAUAGAUCAGCACGACCGGAGCUGAACCCAGAUACAGUGAGAGACCUUGACCUUUUAAAGCCAAAGUCUUUAACGGGGUCUCAGUUUGAGUGAAGCAACACCCAGUCAGUGAUUAAUCUAGAAGGGGAAAACUCUCAGGGUUUCUGGCAGUUAUUGUAGUUGCCGUUUACC